rnacentral:RNase_P_RNA from 2 species
UGCUCUAUACAACGUGAUCGCUCAGCUUCAAAACUGAGAGGAAAGUCCGAACUCCUCAUGAACCCUCGUGGUUUAUGAUCGUGAUAGUGGGUAAUCCCCACCUCCCAACGUGUAAACGUUCGGGACGGGCCAGUGCCACAGAGACUAUACUAUCCCGACCAUGUCGGGAGAAACGUGAAAAGUGAACGGAUGUUUUUAUUCUAUAGAUAAAAGCUACUGUUCUCGUCUCGGUAGUAAUAUCGAGAUGUGGUAAACCCUAUCUGGAGAAAGUGCAGCGUUCAGCUUGCUGGACGAAAAGUUAGCACGUGAAGAUUUCAUGAGUAAUCAUGAAACAAGAGAAAUGAUCACCACAGUCUCUUUCGAGAGACGCGGUACAAAAUUCGGCUUAUUGUAUAGAGCAACAA